AAGCAACACACACAAAGCACUGGAGGAACUGCCAAGCAGCAUCUAUGGAAAAGAGUUUUGGGCCAAGUCCCUUCAGCAGAAGUGGGCAGGUCUCAUGCAGCCUGAAGAAGGAAUGGAAUUGCCAGAACUCAGAAUGAAGCAGUAUCAGACAAUGGAAGUGAUCAGGUUCCUUUCAACAUUGCCAUGCUUUGAAAUCCUCCUUGAAAUUCCUGGCCUCCUACACUUUUCAUGGUAUGGAAGUUGUCCUGUCCAAGACCAGAAGAAGCUGCAGAAGAUGGUGAACAUAGCCC